AUUAGUGGCGAACGGGUGAGUAACACGUGGGCAAUCUGCCCUGCACUCUGGGACAAGCCCUGGAAACGGGGUCUAAUACCGGAUACUGAUCCGCCUGGGCAUCCAGGCGGUUCGAAAGCUCCGGCGGUGCAGGAUGAGCCCGCGGCCUAUCAGCUUGUUGGUGAGGUAGUGGCUCACCAAGGCGACGACGGGUAGCCGGCCUGAGAGGGCGACCGGCCACACUGGGACUGAGACACGGCCCAGACUCCUACGGGAGGCAGCAGUGGGGAAUAUUGCACAAUGGGCGAAAGCCUGAUGCAGCGACGCCGCGUGAGGGAUGACGGCCUUCGGGUUGUAAACCUCUUUCAGCAGGGAAGAAGCGAAAGUGACGGUACCUGCAGAAGAAGCGCCGGCUAACUACGUGCCAGCAGCCGCGGUAAUACGUAGGGCGCAAGCGUUGUCCGGAAUUAUUGGGCGUAAAGAGCUCGUAGGCGGCUUGUC
rnacentral:rRNA from 1 species